rnacentral:rRNA from 1 species
GAUGAACGCUGGCGGCGUGCCUAAUACAUGCAAGUCGAGCGAACGGACGAGAAGCUUGCUUCUCUGAUGUUAGCGGCGGACGGGUGAGUAACACGUGGAUAACCUACCUAUAAGACUGGGAUAACUUCGGGAAACCGGAGCUAAUACCGGAUAAUAUUUUGAACCUCAUGGUUCAAAAGUGAAAUACGGUCUUUCUUCCACUUAUAGAUGGAUCCGUGCUGCAUUAGCUAGUUGGUAAGGUAACGGUUUACCAAGGCAACGAUGCAUAGCCGCCCUCAGAGGGUGAUCAGCAACUGGGGAGAUAAGAGACGCACCCACAUCGGAAGGGAGGCACGAGUCGGGAACCUACGGGAAGGGGCGGAAGGCUGACGGACGCACGGGGCGUGAGUGAUGCAGGGCCUCGGCGCGUAAAACACUGUUGUUAGGGAAGAACAUAUGUGUAAGUAACGGUGCAAUACUGGCGGGUACCGAAUAAGAAGGCCACGCUAAACUCGGG